GCGAGUGGAUGCCAAUCCCCAAAACCUCUCUCAGUUCGGACUGGAGUCUGCAACCCGACUCCACGAAGCUGGAUUCGCUAGUAAUCGCGCAUCAGCCACGGCGCGGUGAAUACGUUCCCGGGCCUUGUACACACCGCCCGUCAAGCCAUGGGAGCCGGGGGUACCUGAAGUGCGUAACCGCGAGGAGCGCCCUAGGGUAAAACUGGUGACUGGGGCUAAGUCGUAACAAGGUACC
rnacentral:rRNA from 1 species